CCCUCGACAGAUGACUCGGGAAGUCCCAGCAGAAGGCAACAACUGCAUCAUCUGCCUUGAGCCUGUGGGGGACAGCUUGUCCUACCACACCACGGUGUGUCCAGUGUGCCAGCGUGCCUGGUUCCACUGGGCCUGCAUCCAGCAACUGGCACUGAGUGCUGGCACGAACUACUUUGAUUGCCCCGGCUGUUGAGACUACAGUGGAUUCUCUGAGGAAAUGUACAUCAUGGGGAUCCACAUCCCACGCAGAGACCCAGAAUGGGACAGCUAUGAGGCACAGGAACACAGGCUCCAAGAGAGGCACAGCCGCUGCAAUGCCAGCGAAUGCCUUUACCAUGGAGGCAGAGAGCAGGCAGAGAGAAGGGGGUGAGUUACCGCAGCAGCUCUCUGGGGCUCAGCGGGAGAUCUCAGCCUCACCACAGGCUGGGAGAGCAAGGACUGAGCACCAGAGACGUGCCGUGCAGGGCACUCCCUGGCCCUCCCGAGUUCCCAGAGCCGGCCAAGAGGACACCAUGGCAGCCGGCAAACGCCAGCCCCAGGGGAGCUGAGUGGCACCCACAGAUCAACAAGAUCUGCCACUUCGAGCUCCCCGAGGCCUUCCAGAGUGCCCGGACGCAGGGGACCAUCCAGGCAGCGAGGGCGCACCCACACCCAAAGCCCUCCUCCACAGAGACGCUGGGCUCACCAUUCCCACUGCUCACCCCAAAGAGGCAGCGGGAGCCGGGCCCAAUGGCGGAGGCUGUCCCGGGAAUGAAGCUGCUCCCAGGAACAACUUCAGAGCCAAAGGUCCCCACGGACAGCCCCCGAGUCUACGUACGAGCAGUCGUGUGCCACUCACUGA